GAUCCACCCGCCUCGGCCUCCCAGAGUGCUAGGAUUACAGAAAACAGCCAACCUCAGUUCACUUUCACGUCUGAAGGACCCCAAUAGACGUUUAUGGUGCCGUCGCCUUGUUCUCUUGAACUCAUCAGCUUAUCGUCAUAAUAUGGUCAGAAGGGGUUUGGACCUGAUGCAGGUCUCAAAUGUGAUAAUACAUUAGAUUAAUGACAUUAUGAUAAUAUCAGAAACUGAAGAUCAAGCUAGGACUGAUUUGAAUGAAGUGGUGACCCACAUGACCAACUGAUGCUGGUUAAUAAACCGAGCUGAGGCCCAGGGGGCUGCCUAAACAGUGAAAUUCUUAGGAAUAAACUGGGCAGGACCCACCUGGGACAUUCCAAGAGACUAAAAAUAAGCUUCAGUCAUUCCUCACCCUUAAGACCAAGAAGCCCAAUGUUUGGUUGGUUUAUUUGGAUUCUGGAGAACACAAAUGCCAAAUGUGGGAAUAAUCUACCUCCUGUCUAUAAGACUACCCGAAAGAAAGCUGUUUAUGAGUGGGGACCUGAACACAAGCAGGCCAUGUCUGCAUUACAAAGAGUGGGUUCUCAUGAUGCCCCUCAGAGAUGAAUUUUGGAAAUUUAUGCCACUCGCAAUCAUGCAGACUAGAGCUUGUGGCAAACCCAUGAGGAUCUCCCAGUGGCAAUUGUUUGGAUUUUGGACCAGAAAAUAUCCAGAUGCCACACUGGGUACACAUCAUCUGAGCAAAAAUUGCCAGCUUGCUACUGAGCAUUAAUCGAAACUGCCUCAUUGAUUGAAAGACAUAAAAGAAUCAUGAAACCUGAGAUACUCAUGAUGUCUUCUUGGGUGACAUCAGAGAAACAGCCUAAUAGGGAAGGAAGCAGUGGAAAAGCUACAUAACACAAUGGAAAUGGCUCAUACAGCAGCAUGUGGCCGGAGUGACCCACUGUAUUCAGAAGCAAGAACCGUCUUUUCCUCUGGGACCAACUUUGGAACCACCUGAGGAGCUGCUGGAACCUAUUGCUACUUGGACAAUUCCUUCUGAAUGCUCUGGAUCAAAUGACAAGGAGCUGUGUGAUUUACGGAUAGCAGUUCCAAGGUCAAUGGACAAUAUCCUGUUUGGAAAGCUGCUACAUCAAGACCAGCAGGUGGAAAGACUCUGAUUGAAGAAUAAGGAAUAAAUCGGCUCCUUGGGCUCAAUUGCAUGCUGGUUCCCGAGCAGUGAUAGAAUGAUAAAAAAAAAAAAACAAAA